GCCUGGGUGGCUCAGUCAGUUGAGCAUCUGACUUCAGCUCAGGUCAUAAUCUCAGGGUUUGUGAGUUUGAGCCUUGCAUCAGGCU
rfam:Felis catus isolate Cinnamon breed Abyssinian chromosome C1, whole genome shotgun sequence.